UAUGCAUGAGGAGCAGCUCUGCUUAGUAAUAUAAUACUUACCUUUUUACACUGAACCAUUUUUCGUGUACCCGUGUUUCAUUUUGCUUUGCCCAGUCUUAACCUGGAAAUCAGAAUUUAGGCUUUAGAUUAUCAUGAUGACUAAUUAUUAGACUGUAGUGAGGCAUCAAUAUUAUCCUCUGGCUGUUCUAAAUUCAUACGAUAGUAAACAUAGUUCUACUAAAAAUGACAGAACAUUAUGCUUUGUGUGGCCUAUUUAUUAUUGGGCAACAUUUGUACUUGAAGUUGCAGAUGUUGGCAGUAGGUCAUUACGUAUUCUCCACUUGCCUACAUAUCUCUUAAUUUAGUUCUUUGAUCAUUUCAGAUGAUCGUUCAGAAGGCUGAUAAGUCUGAUGUCCAGAAAUUGAUAAUGUCCAAGGAGAAGCCUGACUUUUAUUUUGUGCUGUUGGUGGUUUGUUCAAAAGGAAGGUAACUGCAACACAUUUCUUUGUGGUCGAGAUUGGUUCCCAUGAUUCUCUUGCUGGUUUGAAGCCGAGCCGAUUCAGCCGGCCAUGACCAAGGCGUGCCUCUCUUCCCACCCUGCUAGCUGAUUUCUGUAGAAAAAUUUGGUAUGGUUCAUGUCCACUAAUUUUACCCUUUGUCAUUCUGGUUCAGGUGUAUUUGGUGGAAGAAUUUCUUAUUGGUUGGUAUCUAAUGUUUUUUUGGGUUCAGGUGCUCCUUUGUGUCGGCUAAUGAUUUUACCAAUUACAUGCUACAGACACUUACAUGCUCAAAACUCACAAGAAUACAUUUAAUAAUCUUCACAAACUGAUGUUCUGUUUGGCGAUAUGUUCACAUAAGAGUUGAA